rnacentral:tRNA from 1 species
GUAUUGGUAGCCUAGUGGUCAUGGCAUCUGCCCGGUAAGCGGAAGGUCGUGGGUUCGAUUCCCAUCCCUUGACA